AUGGCUGCUCUAAGCGCAUCGUGCCUCGUCGGUCCCGUCCCAUUCAAGGACGUCGCCACCGCCGUCGAUGGCCACAGCUCCACACCCGAAGAGUACGAGGACAUCGUCUCCGGCCUGCCCAGCAGCACCGCGCUAGGCAUGGUCCUGCGCCAAUACCGUGGCUCCUGGGUGAUCCAAGAAAGAGUCACGGCGUUCAUCUCUCUCCAGCGACGCUUCACGCCACGCCCCGGCGACGUGCUCCUCGCGAGCCCGGCCAAGUGCGGCACGACCUGGCUCAAGGCGCUGGCGUUCGCCACCAUGGCGCGGGGCGCGUACCCGCCCACCGACGCGCAGCACCCGCUCCUCCGCAUGAACCCGCACGAGUGCGUCCCCUUCAUGGAUGAGCUGUUCACCGCCGGGCAGGACGCCAGGCUUGAGGCGCUGCCGUCGCCUCGCCUCAUGCACACGCACAUGCAUCAUUCCUUGCUGCCUGCAUCCGUUACUGAUAACCCCGACUGCAAAAUCGUCUUCAUCUGCAGGGACCCCAAGGACAUGCUUGUUUCCUUGUGGCAUUUUCUCAAAGGUGUUCGUCCUUUCACGUUUGAUGACCUGUUCAACUCUGCCUGCGAGGGGAAGACCCCCAAUGGCCCCAUAUGGGACCACCUCAUCGGCUACUGGAGUGCAAGCAAGACCAGCCCGGACAAUGUCCUUUUCCUGAGGUACGAAGAGAUGCUCAUCGACCCGGUCAGCCACGUCAGGGAGCUGGCGCGGUUCAUCGGGCAGCCAUUCUCACACGCCGAUGAGGCGGCCGGGAUACCGGCGGACAUUGUGAAGCUCUGCAGUUUUGAUAAGCUCAAAGGCCAAGGCGCCAACAUGGCAGGCUCAUACGACGGGAAGGUUUUCAGUUUUGCACAUGAAACCUUCUUCAGGAAAGGGGUGGCCGGAGAUUGGGUGAACAAUAUGACGCCGGAGAUGGCGCAACGCUUUGACACCAUCAUCGAGGAUACCCUUAGAGGGUCUGGCCUCACAUUCAAGUGA
rnacentral:rRNA from 1 species